CGCCUAACACAUGCAAGUCGCACGAGAAAGGGAGCAAUCCCCGGUACAGUGUCGCACGGGUGAGUAACACGUAGAUGACCUUCCCUGGAGUGGUGGAUAACCUGCCGAAAGGCGGGCUAAUACAGCAUGGGACCACAUGGUUUUGACCGAGUGGUGAAAGCGGGCCUCUGUUCACAAGCUCGCGCUCUGGGAUGGGUCUGCGGCCCAUCAGCUAGUUGGCGAGGUAACGGCUCACCAAGGCGAAGACGGGUAGCUGGUCUGAGAGGAUGAUCAGCCACACUGGAACUGAGACACGGUCCAGACUCCUACGGGAGGCAGCAGUGGGGAAUAUUGCGCAAUGGGCGAAAGCCUGACGCAGCCACGCCGCGUGAGCGAUGAAGGCCUUCGGGUCGUAAAGCUCUGUGGGGAGAGAAGAAUAAAGCCUGUGAAGAGCAGGCCUUGACGGUAUCUCCUUAGCAAGCACCGGCUAACUCCGUG
rnacentral:rRNA from 1 species